rnacentral:snoRNA from 1 species
GCGACUAUCCUUGGCCAAUGGAAGUUCGCUUCUGUUGGUCUAAAAUACGGAUCGGUGCUGACCAAUUAAUUCAGCAUCUGGCCGUAGUGUCGCAGAUAAAACUGCCCUUCGGGAGGCGGAGUUUGAUAUAUUCCUGUGACGCCUUGUAGCCGCUCAGGCAAUGACAAGGGGCCAAACCAUAUCACGCACAGAU